GAAAAUAUUCUACGCCAACAAAACAUAGCACGCCACAAACGGAAACAACGCCAAAGAAGAAAACAAAAUCGCAGAAAGAUUCCACAGUUAAGGCAAAGAGAAGAGUUUCUUUUGGAUAUCCGACAACUGGAGGAGGUGCUGAGGAUACCGAAACCCAGAUACAGCAUACAAUAUUGCCGAUUGAUUCAACACUGCAAGCAGCGACACUUCAAGCAGAAUCAGCCCAGAUGCACCCACCCACGGUGCAGGAAGAAACAUCAUCCCAACAGCCACUUCCAGAAGAAAAUUCAUCACAGGGGCACCCACAGACACUGCCAGAAGAGUCCUUUUCACAGAGCUACCCUGCAAUUGGAGACCAUAAUCUUGUUGAAAGAACAGAGCAAAUUCCGGACAUGGAAACUUCAGGCAGUGUACCAGAAGUCCUUGAAUCAAAAACACCGGAAACUACGCCAGGAGAGUCAUCACUCAAUCUAAUACUGGAAGCUUUAAAGAACAUGGACCAAUGUAGAGCUGAAGAAAGCCAAAGG